rnacentral:rRNA from 1 species
UACGUAGGGGGCUAGCGUUGUCCGGAAUCAUUGGGCGUAAAGCGCGUGUAGGCGGUCCGGUAAGUCCGUUGUGAAAGUCGAGGGCUCAACCCUCGAAUGCCGGUGGAUACUGUCGGGCUUGAGUACGGGAGAGGCGAGUGGAAUUCCUGGUGUAGCGGUGAAAUGCGUAGAUAUCUGGAAGAACACCGGUGGCGAAGGCGGCCUCCUGGACGGUGACUGACGCUGAGACGCGAAAGCGUGGGGAGCAAACAGG